UGUUCUUUUUUGUAACUGCUUAAUUUGUUUGUUUAUCUUAGAUACGUAAUCAUGUCCAUUUGAUUUUCAUCUUAUAUAUGAUUUUAGCAACAUUACCCUUUAUUCAUUCAUAUUUGCCAUUUUUCAAAACCAAUUUUCUGUCUUAAAUGCUCUGCCCAAAUGUUAGGCUCCUUAUAAAACCAUGAAUUGCAUUGAAAAUGCUCUACUCAACAUCUCUAGUCAGUUGUCCAUGCUCCCACGUUCUCUAAUAAUUAGUGCUGCCAAUAAUAUGUUGAUCCCUUCAUAUGAUUCCCUAUCAACUUGAUUUCAUUCACAUGAGUACCCAAUUUGUCUGGACAUUUCUCUAUAAAUGAACAAUUAUGUCUUAAAUGUUCAGUUAAGAUGAGUACUGCCAGUAAUAUCCCAUGUUCAGUAAAAAUGAGUACUAUUAUUUGUUUUCCCGUUCAUGCCAUUAAUAAAUCUUGAGCACAUGGUGCCUGAAAUUCAGUCACAUUGCUCUCUGCUACAUCUCCCCCUGUACCCUGCAUCACCAUUAUUAACUACACCCUCUCCUUGCUCCUCCUUCAUCAGUCCACUCCUUCAGUUCUUCUUCCUGCACCACCGCCAACGGCUCCACCAACAGCAGCUUUCCUCGCCACUCGAAGUGCUUCUCCACCAAUGUAAGAUGGCGUCCCUGAUCCAUGGCUCAUCCAGCCGUUCUGCCGACCAAGUCAUUGAACAAGCUUAUGAAAAAGAGGCAAAAUAAAUGUCAUGUUCUUAAGUGUACAAAAAGCACAACUAUCAUUUAAUAAUGUUCCCACCACACCAUGUAUCUGUUGCUUGUAUUCCGGUAGUAUGUGGCCAUAAAGAUGUUUUUGAGAAAUUAAUGUGAAGAUCUGACUAUAGUAAAGAAUGGGGAUGAUAUCAGGGUGUACAACAGCUCAGAGCCACAAAUCUUCAUCCUGUAGGCGGCCUGCUAUAUCAACCCUCCUCUAUAGUGCAGGAAAAAUACUUAGAAAGAAAAAACAUUUGCACCCUAUUUGAUGAAACUGCUUAUCACAACAACUUCGGGCAAACAUGGCAUAGUAAUCGAGGAACUAGCAGCCGGAUGAAGCAAUUUAUACUAAAAUGUUAUACUUAUUUAAACUAAGUUUGCCAUACUAUAGUUUUAGUUAGUGUAAUUUUUCAAUACUUAGCUAUUAUAGUUAACCACAUAAUUGUGUUCCCACAUAAUUGUUAUAGUGUUUUUGUUAUACAUUUGUAGUGUAUGCUAAUGGAAAA